rnacentral:antisense_RNA from 1 species
GAUCACAAUCAAGAGUUUAAAGACAACCAGUCUCUGCUCCAGCCACACAGGACUUCUUUUAGUACCUUUACUACAUCAUGCCCUCCCCUGCCUCAGGCUUCUGCUGGGAUGGAUCCAGCACAUUCACCCUAAAAUUCUGAUUCAGAAGAUCUAAGCCUUCUGAAAAAAAAGCAUUGAGAGCAUAAACCACUCAGAAGAUUUACAGCUUAAAGCAGAUCACCUUAAGAUACUGGAAUCAGUCAGUGCUUAGAUGGAACAUUUUUUGAGGCCUACAUCUUCACUGAGUGCCCUUCUUCUCUAUUUCCUAUACUUCCUUGUUUCUUUCUGUCCCCACUGCAUCCCAUAUGGAUUUGUACAAAUAAUGCUGGGUUCUUUUCUUCACCCACAUGCAACAGUUGCUGCUAGAUCAUAACCAUUCCUUCUAUUGGUUUUAAAAUCUGUUUUUCUCAGAUUCCUUACACUUGAAGGAAAAAAAAAAGGACAUUUAGCCUGUUUUUCUUUUAAGCAAUAAAAAUUCUUCUCUCAC